UCCCCCAAAAGGAUUCACGGUCACAUGGCUGUGCCUCCUGCCACCUCACUGGAAGGUCCCCUGCCGUUGUCCUUCCCUCCUCUCUUCUGGGCCUGAGCCCCCUCCCUGCUGACCUGGAAGCCCCUCUUUCUCCUCUAUCAUUUCCUGUCCCCUCCCUGAAGCACCGCCCACCAGCCCCUCCAGGUUCCCGCUGUGGAGUGAGGCCCCCCCUUCCACCCAGCCAAGCCUCGUCUGUCACCAGGGCAAACUGGUCCCACUGGGCAGGGACACGGACGUCCGGAAGCAGCUGUGUGCCCAGCCUGGGUCGCGCGUGAGACCCACACCGUGCAUACAGAGGCUGACACUGGACCAAAAACUCACUUCCAGCAAAGCCUUAGGACGGUGCUGUGGUUCUCCCCAUUCUGCAGAUGAAGAACUGAGGCUCAGCGCCUCGAGGAGGUGCAGGUGGGAUGAAGACCCAGGUCGUGUGACUUCAAAACGAGGACAUUGAGGCCCAGAGAGAAUGACAUGAGCUGGAGCCUGAAACUUGCAAGGUGCAGGGCCUGCCUUCCCAGUAGACAUCCAGUGAAGCCCAGCUCCUUGAGUGGUGUCCUCACGCACAGCUGGUGAGGGGGCCUUCAUCACCCCACGUGAGUAGCUGGAAACUGAGGCUCGGCCUGGGUGGAGGCUGGGGCAAGGUCACACAGUCAGGCUGCAAGGCCCCUUCCCUUGCCCCAUGCCACCCAUCGGCCUCCCUGCUGACCCCGACAGAGGGGAGUGCCAGGAGGUCCACGGGAGGAAGCCCCUUUCUCAGGGCCAGAAGGGAAGAAGAAGAGACAGGGGCGGGUGAUCCAAGGUUCUGGUCACCUGAGCUGGUGAGACCUGGCUCAGCUUGCCCAAGGAGGUGGCCCUGGCCAGCAGACCCGGGCAGCUCGCCGCACACCCAGAUACCCCAGGAGUGUAGGAUCAGUCAGAGACAGAGCCAGCCUCAUCUCAUCACAUCCAUGCAUCGUACUGUGGAAGCCAGAUCUGGAGGUUCUAGAGCAAUGUUCCGGGAGCUCAAAAGGAGCCUCAGUCCCCCAGCCUCCCAGGCCAGGUACCCCCGCCCCAAGAUGGGACCCCCUUGGCAGGCAAACCAAAAUCAUUUGGGAAAUUCUACAAGCUCUGUCCUUGUGUUGGAAACAAACCAUCCACAUCAGCACAUGAAGGCACUGAGAAGUCCCGCAAGAAAGAACCCUACUCAAUUUUGCUUAAUCCAGCCUUGCCCACAAUUUACUGAACCAUGAACUCCACUUUUUCCAUGAAGUAUGUAUUAGCAUCUGUGGCAGAUUAAACAUGGCCACAGAUUCUUUGGCACUCCCGUCAUCGAGAGGUAGGGUCUAUUCUCCCUUCCCUUCAAUCUGGGUGGGCCACGCGACUGCUGUGACCAGUGAGGAUGACAGAAGUGACACUGGAACAGUUCCAGAACUGGCCUGGCAGCUUGACCUCUUGCCUCUUGGAGCCUUGAGUUUUGACACAAGAAAUCCAGUCUAGGUUGCUGGAAAGGGCAUAGGAUGCGGCAGCAAGAUGAGGCCAUCCUGGGCACCCAGCCCAGUGGAGCCUUCAGAUGACCCCGGCCUCAGCUGCUAUCUGCCUGCAACUGCAUGAGAGACUCCAAGCAAGAACCUGCCCAGCUAAGCCCCAUCAACCCCAGCAUCACCAGGAAGACUAAUAAACUAAUGCUUGAAGCCACUGCACUGGGGGUGGUUUAUCACACAGCAGCGGAUAACUGGAACAGCGUCCUACAGACCCCCUCAGAUGCGAUCAGCCAGGGAAUGUGAACUGGGCACCCAUAACGUGCCAGGCGGAGAUGCAAGCUGUCCUGCCAACCACAGACGGCCGUGGGGAAACCCCAAACCUGCAUUCGGGGAAACACGUGGGGAUGCUAUCAAUUGCCCCGGCCUGCAAGUGCAGAAGUGUGUGAGAGCCUGACACGUGGCCCAAAUCCCAGCCGCUCCUCUCACUAGCUGGGGGAUCCUGGGUGUGUUACUGCUCCCAGCCUCACCUUCCCCAUCUGUAAACUGGGGGAAUAAGAACCCUUCCACCAGGGAUGAGCUCCACUUUGGAGAGCCAGGGGCCAUGUUGGGCAUCUGGACCAAUGCCCCUCCUUCAAGAUCUGACAGCCCCUCCCACCGCCUCUCCGCCCUUUCUUCCUGUCAGUUCCUAGUUGCAGGGAGCAGGGAGUGUCUGCCAAGAGACCCAGCUGGUGACCCUGAGGAUGCUGCCCGAGGAUUCCUCCAUUAUUAACGAACAUGCUCCGUCUCCCCAGCUCUUUUGCGCUUCUGUGUCAGGCUCAGAAAUGGCUUAAGGGGAGGGGCUGGCAUUCAACUCCGGGGUCUAGGCAACCAUGCCAGCCAUCUGGCCUCGCUGGAACUCAGUUUCCCCACUCCUGGAGGAGAGGAGACAGGCAGGGGGGAGAGACAGAGGGGGCAGGCCGUGCAAACCGAGGACCCGUUCUGGGUCAGGCACCGAGGCAAGUGCUGUGAAGGGUGGGAUCACCUCUGAGCCUAGGUCCCAGCUCACAAAAAGCGAGUCCGCGGAAGUCAGUUUUGUUGAGCUUGUUAAAUGGCUGGUAACCCGCCCCCAGGUCCCUUCCAUGACCACCAGGCCCUUCCCCGCUCAGGGCCUCCCUUUUCCAUCUGUGAAGUAAAGGAUAGAAUAGACAGGGGCAACGAUGACCCGCACUGGAGCGUCUGCCCUGCUGGCAGGGGCUGCUGUGGCCCCGUUGCACAGGUGGGAGACCGGGGCCGGCCAGGUGUGCAGGGACUUACAGCUCUCGGGACCACACUGCCAGGACAAAGCCCAGGAGGGAUUAGAACUCAGCUCCGUCUCAUUCCACACCCGAGCUCUUAAACUCUCCCUUUGUGCGUGCCUGUAACUGAUUGCCCCACCAAUUGAUGAUUAACUGAUUGACGGAUUACCUGCCACGGCCCCUCCUCCCGACGGGCCUUCCAGGGAGCCCCCUCCGGCCCCCACUGCCCAGCUCACGUUCCUCCGACCACCCACCCCAGGUGCGUCCCCAACAAGCAGCGUGGAAGGGGGCGGGGCCGGGGCGGGGCUCCCGCGGCUUCCCGCCCCGGCCCGCCAGCAGCCGGCUUCUUAAUCUGCAGCCCUUGUGGCUCUGGCCUGUCGCCCGCCGGUUGUCAGGGAAACGACCUCUCCCCUCUGAACCUUCAAAGGGCUCCUCCCACUCCUGCGGGCGGGAGCUGGGGUCCUUGGAUAAGAGACUGGGGAGACAGAGACGGGGGAGGGACACCCAGAGAUGGAGAGACAGCGCAGCGAGAGGGAGAGACAGGGAGACAGAGACAGAGACGCACCCUGGCAGGGAGAGACACAGGCCGCAGAGAGAAUGGAGGUGGAGACAAAAGAGACAGAGAAAAGAAAACGCAACCCCGCCCCUACCACAGCAACAGAGGCAGAGAGAUGGAGAGAGACAGUCACAGCCGUGUACAGAGACAGGGAGAGAGAUCGUGGGAGAGGCAGGGUCAGCAUAGAG